UAGUCUAUCUAUAUCAGAUCCUCAUAUAGUUAUGUUGGAUUCUCACCCAAACGCUAAGAACUUUUAAUUUCUACAUGCCCAAGUGCAUCAUCAUAUGUCUAAAAAGAUCACCACCAACAUCAUACAAUGAAAGAAU
rfam:Populus trichocarpa scaffold_2_contig_148, whole genome shotgun sequence.